rnacentral:rRNA from 1 species
AACGAACGCUGGCGGCAGGCCUAACACCUGCAAGUCGAGCGAGUGGCGGACGGGAGAGUAAUGUAUGGGGACUGCCCGAUCGCGGCGGAUAACUACUGGAAACGGUGGCUAAUACUGCAGUCUAUACGCUAACCCAUAUGGGAGUAGCUCGUAGGUAAGGUAAUGGCUUACCUAGGCGACGAUCCCUAGCUGGUCUGAGAGGAUGAUCGGCCACACGGGGACUGAGACACGGCCCAGAAUCCUACGGAGGCAGCAGGGGGGAAUAUUGCGCAAUGGGCGCAAGCCUGAUGCAGCCAUGCCGCGUGUAUGAAGAAGGCCCUAGGGUUGUAAAGUACUUUCGGUCGGGAGGCGUUACCGACAGAAGAAGCACCGGCUAACUCCGGGCCAGCAGCCGCGGUAAUAC